rnacentral:rRNA from 1 species
UACAGAGGGUGCAAACGUUUGUUCGGAAUUACUGGGCGUAAAGCGUGCGCAGGCGGUUCGUUGUGUCGGUGGUGAAAGCCCCGGGCUUAACCUGGGAAUGGCCAUGGAAACUGGCGAACUGGAGUGUGGCAGAGGGGGGGUGGAAUUCCGCGUGUAGCAGUGAAAUGCGUAGAGAUGCGGAGGAACACCGAUGGCGAAGGCAGCCCCCCUGGGCUAGCACUGACGCCUCAGGCACGAAAGCGUGGGGAGCAAACAGG